UUCGGGAGGCAGCAGUGGGGAAUAUUGCACAAUGGGCGCAAGCCUGAUGCAGCCAUGCCGCGUGUAUGAAGAAGGCCUUCGGGUUGUAAAGUACUUUCAGUCGUGAGGAAGGUGUUAAGGUUAAUAACCUUAGCAAUUGACGUUAGCGACAGAAGAAGCACCGGCUAACUCCGUGCCAGCAGCCGCGGUAAUACGGAGGGUGCGAGCGUUAAUCGGAAUUACUGGGCGUAAAGGGCACGCAGGCGGUUAAUUAAGUUGGAUGUGAAAUCCCCGGGCUUAACCUGGGAAUGGCAUUCAAGACUGGUUAGCUAGAGUCUUGUAGAGGGGGUAGAAUUCCAUGUGUAGCGGUGAAAUGCGUAGAGAUGUGGAGGAAUACCGGUGGCGAAGGCGGCCCCUGGACAAAGACUGACGCUCAUGUGCGAAAGCGUGGGGAGCAAACAGGGAUUAGAUACC
rnacentral:rRNA from 1 species